rnacentral:rRNA from 1 species
ACGGGGGGUGCAAGCGUUGUUCGGAAUCAUUGGGCGUAAAGCGCGCGCAGGCGGCUUGGUAAGUCAGAUGUGAAAUCCCUGGGCUUAACCCAGGAAGUGCAUUUGAUACUGCCUCGCUAGAGUACGGGAGAGGAAAGUGGAAUUCCUGGUGGUGGGGUUUCUUUCGCAAGUAUCACGCGCAACGCCGAUGGCGUAGGCGUCAAACUGGCUUGUUACUGACGCUCAGCCGCGUGAGUGUGGGGUGCGGUCAG